rnacentral:rRNA from 1 species
UACAGAGGGUGCGAGCGUUAAUCGGAAUUACUGGGCGUAAAGCGCACGUAGGUGGUUUUCUAAGUCAGCUGUGAAAUCCCCGGGCUCAACCUGGGACUUGCAGUUGAAACUGGGAAGCUAGAGUAGGGUAGAGGGGUGUGGAAUUCCAGGUGUAGCGGUGAAAUGCGUAGAUAUCGGGAAGAACACCCGUGGCUAAGGCGGCUCUCUAGUACGGUACUGACGCUGAGACGCGAAAGCGUGGGGAGCGAACAGGAUUAGAUACCUCCUA